rnacentral:rRNA from 1 species
GACGAACGCUGGCGGCGUGCCUAAUACAUGCAAGUAGAACGCUGAAGGAGGAGCUUGCUCUUCUGGAUGAGUUGCGAACGGGUGAGUAACGCGUAGGUAACCUGCCUGGUAGCGGGGGAUAACUAUUGGAAACGAUAGCUAAUACCGCAUAACAGUAGAUGUUGCGUGACAUUUACUUAAAAGGUGCAAUUGCAUCACUACCAGAUGGACCUGCGUUGUAUUAGCUAGUUGGUGGGGUAACGGCACACCAAGGCGACGAUACAUAGCCGACCUGAGAGGGGGAACAGCCCCACUGGGACCGAGACACGGCCCAGACUCCUACGGGAGGCAGCAGUAGGGAAUCUUCGGCAAUAGACGGCAGUCUGACCGAGCCACGCCGCGUGAGUGAAGAAGGGUUUCGGAUCGUAAAGCUCUGUUGUAAGAGAAGAACGAGUGUCAGAGUGGAAAGUUCACACUGUGACGGUAUCUUACCAGAAAGGGACGGCUAACUACGUG